CUUCCAAGGUUGCUGCUCCAACAUGCUACUAUUCUGCAGGCUGGCUUAAGCAGAGAGGGGGAGUUGGAGUGGAGUGAUCUGCCAGGUCUCUUCAGCAGCCUCAGCUGCUGCUCCAGUCAGGAGAUCCAGCAUACGUACGGAAGUAACAGGACAAUCCUCCUCGCUACCUGGACUUGGCUCUUUCCUUCCAACGUGUCUGUAGAAGAAAGAGGCAAUUUCUGCCCAGUAGCUACCUUGCCACAAUGUACUAUCUCACCUGGAGGUAGACACGCUCAGUUUCUUCGAAUCUACGAAUGGGGAGCUGCUGUUUGUCUCAACAACAAAUGAAUAAAUAAUAUUAAUUGUCA